AGUGAACGCUGGCGGUAGGCCUAACACAUGCAAGUCGAACGGCAGCACAGUAAGAGCUUGCUCUUACGGGUGGCGAGUGGCGGACGGGUGAGGAAUACAUCGGAAUCUACUUUUUCGUGGGGGAUAACGUAGGGAAACUUACGCUAAUACCGCAUACGACCUACGGGUGAAAGCAGGGGAUCUUCGGACCUUGCGCGAUUGAAUGAGCCGAUGUCGGAUUAGCUCGUUGGCGGGGUAAAGGCCCACCAAGGCGACGAUCCGUAGCUGGACGGAGAGAAUGAUCAGCCACACUGGAACUGAGACACGGUCCAGACUCCUACGAGAGGCAGCAGUGGGGAAUAUUGGACAAUGGGGGCAAGCCUGGUCCAGCCAUACCGCGUGGGUGAAGAAGGCCUUCGGGUUGUAAAGCCCUUUUGUUGGGAAAGAAAAGCAGCAGGUUAAUACCCCGCUGUUCUGACGGUACCCAAAGAAUAAGCACCGGCUAACUUCGUG
rnacentral:rRNA from 1 species